rnacentral:rRNA from 1 species
GAUGAACGCUGGCGGCGUGCCUAAUACAUGCAAGUCGAGCGAACGGACGAGAAGCUUGCUUUUCUGAUGUUAGCGGCGGACGGGUGAGUAACACGUGGAUAACCUACCUAUAAGACUGGGAUAACUUCGGGAAACCGGAGCUAAUACCGGAUAAUAUUUUGAACCGCAUGGUUCAAAAGUGAAAGACGGUCUUGCUGUCACUUAUAGAUGGAUCCGCGCUGCAUUAGCUAGUUGGUAAGGUAACGGCUUACCAAGGCAACGAUGCAUAGCCGACCUGAGAGGGUGAUCGGCCACACUGGAACUGAGACACGGUCCAGACUCCUACGGGAGGCAGCAGUAGGGAAUCUUCCGCAAUGGGCGAAAGCCUGACGGAGCAACGCCGCGUGAGUGAUGAAGGUCUUCGGAUCGUAAAACUCUGUUAUUAGGGAAGAACAUAUGUGUAAGUAACUGUGCACAUCUUGACGGUACCUAAUCAGAAAGCCACGGCUAACUACGUGCCAGCAGCCGCGGUAAUACGUAGGUGGCAAGCGUUAUCCGGAAUUAUUGGGCGUAAAGCGCGCGUAGGCGGUUUUUUAAGUCUGAUGUGAAAGCCCACGGCUCAACCGUGGAGGGUCAUUGGAAACUGGAAAACUUGAGUGCAGAAGGGGAAAGUGGAAUUCCAUGUGUAGCGGUGAAAUGCGCAGAGAUAUGGAGGAACACCAGUGGCGAAGGCGACUUUCUGGUCUGUAACUGACGCUGAUGUGCGAAAGCGUGGGGAUCAAACAGGAUUAGAUACCCUGGUAGUCCACGCCGUAAACGAUGAGUGCUAAGUGUUAGGGGGUUUCCGCCCCUUAGUGCUGCAGCUAACGCAUUAAGCACUCCGCCUGGGGAGUACGACCGCAAGGUUGAAACUCAAAGGAAUUGACGGGGACCCGCACAAGCGGUGGAGCAUGUGGUUUAAUUCGAAGCAACGCGAAGAACCUUACCAAAUCUUGACAUCCUUUGACAACUCUAGAGAUAGAGCCUUCCCCUUCGGGGGACAAAGUGACAGGUGGUGCAUGGUUGUCGUCAGCUCGUGUCGUGAGAUGUUGGGUUAAGUCCCGCAACGAGCGCAACCCUUAAGCUUAGUUGCCAUCAUUAAGUUGGGCACUCUAAGUUGACUGCCGGUGACAAACCGGAGGAAGGUGGGGAUGACGUCAAAUCAUCAUGCCCCUUAUGAUUUGGGCUACACACGUGCUACAAUGGACAAUACAAAGGGCAGCGAAACCGCGAGGUCAAGCAAAUCCCAUAAAGUCGUUCUCAGUUCGGAUUGUAGUCUGCAACUCGACUACAUGAAGCUGGAAUCGCUAGUAAUCGUAGAUCAGCAUGCUACGGUGAAUACGUUCCCGGGUCU